rnacentral:rRNA from 1 species
GACGAACGCUGGCGGCGUGCCUAAUACAUGCAAGUCGAGCGGAUCUUUGGGAGCUUGCUCCCAAAGGUUAGCGGCGGACGGGUGAGUAACACGUGGGCAACCUACCUAUAAGACUGGGAUAACUUCGGGAAACCGGAGCUAAUACCGGAUAAUAUAAGAGAUUACAUGAUCUUUUAUUGAAAGAUGGCUUCGGCUAUCACUUAUAGAUGGGCCCGCGGCGCAUUAGCUAGUUGGUGAGGUAACGGCUCACCAAGGCGACGAUGCGUAGCCGACCUGAGAGGGUGAUCGGCCACACUGGGACUGAGACACGGCCCAGACUCCUACGGGAGGCAGCAGUAGGGAAUCUUCCGCAAUGGACGAAAGUCUGACGGAGCAACGCCGCGUGAGUGAUGAAGGCCUUCGGGUCGUAAAACUCUGUUGUUAGGGAAGAACAAGUAUCGUUCGAAUAGGGCGGUACCUUGACGGUACCUAACCAGAAAGCCACGGCUAACUACGUGCCAGCAGCCGCAGUAAAAC